rnacentral:rRNA from 1 species
GACGAACGCUGGCGGCGUGCCUAAUACAUGCAAGUCGAGCGGACUUAAAAAGCUUGCUUUUUAAGUUAGCGGCGGACGGGUGAGUAACACGUGGGCAACCUGCCUGUAAGACUGGGAUAACUUCGGGAAACCGGAGCUAAUACCGGAUAAUCCUUUUCUACUCAUGUAGAAAAGCUGAAAGACGGUUUACGCUGCCACUUACAGAUGGGCCCGCGGCGCAUUAGCUAGUUGGUGAGGUAACGGCUCACCAAGGCGACGAUGCGUAGCCGACCUGAGAGGGUGAUCGGCCACACUGGGACUGAGACACGGCCCAGACUCCUACGGGAGGCAGCAGUAGGGAAUCUUCCGCAAUGGACGAAAGUCUGACGGAGCAACGCCGCGUGAGUGAUGAAGGUUUUCGGAUCGUAAAACUCUGUUGUUAGGGAAGAACAAGUACGAGAGUAACUGCUCGUACCUUGACGGUACCUAACCAGAAAGCCACGGCUAACUACGUG